CCCUCGUGCUGCAUAUGGCACGUGUAUCUCUGCUCUUGUCCAGAAGGCACCACCACAGCUGCCCACUUCUGGAAGGUUCCAUCUCCUGCUGGCCUGGUCAGUGUGAUCUCCGCAGGGUAGAAGCCCAGGGCCCAGCACCUCAGGGUGGCCUCAUGGUCAGAGAGGGGGUGGUGGGUCACGUGUGUCUUUGGGGGUUCUGACGGGAAGAGUCAGAAAAUUCAGACACUUUGCAUCUCUCUUGGGACACUCCAGCAGCGCCCAUGUGACCAUCCUGAGAAUGGACAGGACACCUGGGGUGGGGAAGGCGGCAGAGAACCCAGACGCCAGCCUGGACACAGGCACCUGGGAUAAUCUCCUAUUCAUUGGAAAGUUCUAGUCUCUGAGGGAGGAACAGCGACUUCUGGUCCUGACCUGAGUGGAGGCUGCAGGACUCAGAAAAGCUGGAAUCAAACCUUCAGACACAUUGAGUGUGAGGCAGAGAACAAGGCCUGAGAGAAAGGUCAGCAGCCUGACCACAGCUGCUGCAGUGGUCAAAGUGGUCAAAGGAGACCCCUGAUCAGUAUUCCAGGGACUGUCUUCCCCUCCAUUUCCUCAGAGACUUCAUCCCUUAAUUGUCCUAGAGAGCAGAGGGGGCCCUCAGAGGAAACUCAGGAAAACUCAUGCCAUUCUCCAUUCAAGGGAGGGCGAUAUUCCAGUGCUGAUCCCAUUUUCCUCCCCUCCUCGUGGGAGGCCAUCCCGGGAGAUCUAUAGGAGAUGGGGAAGGCUCCCCACUGCCCCUGGUACCUGCGCGCUGCAGCGUCUCCUUCCCGUUCUCCAGGUAUCUGCGGAGCCACUCCACGCACUCGCCCUCCAGGUAGGCUCUCCGCUGCUCCGCCUCACGGGCCGCCUCCCACUUGCGCUGGGUGAUCUGAGCCGCCGUGUCCGCGGCGGAGGCGCCCGUCCGGCCCCACGUCGCAGCCGUA
rnacentral:lncRNA from 1 species